UACGUAGGGUCCGAGCGUUGUCCGGAAUUAUUGGGCGUAAAGGGCUCGUAGGCGGUUUGUCGCGUCGGGAGUGAAAUCCACUGGCUUAACUGGUGGCUUGCUUUCGAUACGGGCAGACUAGAGUGUGGUAGGGGAGACUGGAAUUCCUGGUGUAGCGGUGAAAUGCGCAGAUAUCAGGAGGAACACCGGUGGCGAAGGCGGGUCUCUGGGCCACUACUGACGCUGAGGAGCGAAAGCGUGGGGAGCGAACAGG
rnacentral:rRNA from 1 species